UACGAAGGGGGCUAGCGUUGCUCGGAAUCACUGGGCGUAAAGGGUGCGUAGGCGGGUCUUUAAGUCAGGGGUGAAAUCCUGGAGCUCAACUCCAGAACUGCCUUUGAUACUGAGGAUCUUGAGUUCGGGAGAGGUGAGUGGAACUGCGAGUGUAGAGGUGAAAUUCGUAGAUAUUCGCAAGAACACCAGUGGCGAAGGCGGCUCACUGGCCCGAUACUGACGCUGAUGUGCGACAGCGUGGGGAGCAAACA
rnacentral:rRNA from 1 species